rnacentral:rRNA from 1 species
GACGAAGGAUGCAAGCGUUAUCCGGAUUCAUUGGGUUUAAAGGGCGCGUAGGUGGCCUUGUAAGUCAGUGGUGAAAUCCUGUCGCUUAACGAGAGAAUUGCCUCUGAUACUGCAGGGCUUGAGUACAGUUGCCGUUGGCGGAAUAUGACAUGUAGUGGUGAAAUACUUAGAUAUGUCAUAGAACACCGAUUGCGAAGGCAGCUGACGAAACUGUAACUGACACUGAGGCUCGAAAGUGCGGGGAUCAAACAGG